GUAGGUGGCAAGCGUUGUCCGGAAUUAUUGGGCGUAAAGCGCGCGCAGGCGGGUUCUUUAAGUCUGAUGUGAAAGCCCACGGCUCAACCGUGGAGGGUCAUUGGAAACUGGAGAACCUGAGUACAGAAGAGGAAAGCGGAAUUCCACGUGUAGCGGUGAAAUGCGUAGAGAUGUGGAGGAACACCAGUGGCGAAGGCGGCUUUCUGGUCUGUAACUGACGCUGAGGCGCGAAAGCGUGGGGAGCAAACAGGAUUAGAUACCCUGGUAGUCCACGCCGUAAACGAUGAGUGCUAAGUGUUAGGGGGUUUCCGCCCCUUAGUGCUCCAGCUAACGCAUUAAGCACUCCGCCUGGGGAGUACGGCCGCAAGGCUG
rnacentral:rRNA from 1 species